GGAAGGUUCAUCAAAUUUAACGCAUUUGACUUGUGCAUGGAUCUGCGAUGCUGUUGGUGUUCAAAAAGAAGUCGGCAUGGACUGACAAGGUCAUAAAGGUGGUCAAGAAAUAAAUUGCCAACAGACAGCAACAUUCCUUGAUUUACAUGCAUUUCUCUUCAUGUCCUCUCCUGAAAGAUUUUCCAUGAUGCCUCAGGGUUAGGAUUGGGAUGCAAGAUGUACAGUACAUAUAUAUGAUGUCUAUGGGUACAUUGCAGUAAUGGCCUGAAAAAUCUUUUGCGAAACCGAGAAAUGUUCAUCUUUCAUUGCCAUGAUUGUGUAAAAGGACGAGCAGAUGAAUGAUUCAAACAUAUAUGGCAGGAUUGAGAAUCGAACCCAUGACCCGUAGUCUGGUACUCUACCCACUGAUCAAUCCAUGCUG